AAGCUCGUAGUUGAAUUUCGAGGUUAGUAGGUUGGUCAUGCCUCUGAUAUGUACUGGUCUCACUGAUUCCUCCUUCCUUAUGAACCGUAAUGCCAUUAAAUUUGGUGUUGCGGGGAAUUUGGACUGUUACUUUGAAAAAAUUGAGUGUUUAAAGCAAGCUAACGCUUGAAUACAUUAGCAUGGAAUAAUGAAAUAGGACGUUCGAUCUUAUUUUGUUGGCUUCUAGGAUUGACGUAAUGAUUAAUAGGGAUAGUUGGG
rnacentral:rRNA from 1 species